rnacentral:rRNA from 1 species
CGAAGGGGGCUAGCGUUGUUCGGAAUUACUGGGCGUAAAGCGCGCGCAGGCGGUCUUUCAAGUCAGUGGUGAAAGCCUGGAGCUCAACUCCAGAACUGCCAUUGAAACUGCAAGACUUGAGUACGAGAGAGGUGAGUGGAAUUCCCAGUGUAGAGGUGAAAUUCGUAGAUAUUGGGAAGAACACCGGUGGCGAAGGCGGCUCACUGGCUCGUAACUGACGCUCAGGCGCGACAGCGUGGGGAUCAAACAGGAUUAGAUACCCUGGUAGUCCACGCCGUAAACGAUGAAUGCUAGCCGUUGGGCAGCUUGCUGUUCAGUGGCGCAGCUAACGCAUUAAGCAUUCCGCCUGGGGAGUACGGCCGCAAGGUUG